rnacentral:rRNA from 1 species
CAACGUGGGUAACCUGCCCAAGAGACUGGGAUAACACCUGGAAACAGAUGCUAAUACCGGAUAACAACACUAGACGCGUGUCUAGAGUUUAAAAGAUGGUUCUGCUAUCACUCUUGGAUGGACCUGCGGUGCAUUAGCUAGUUGGUAAGGUAACGGCUUACCAAGGCAAUGAUGCAUAGCCGAGUUGAGAGACUGAUCGGCCACAUUGGGACUGAGACACGGCCCAAACUCCUACGGAAGGCAGCAG